CAGACUGCCGUUAACAAAGUUAGUUUUCUUUGUUAGAUGGCGCGAUGUGGAGAUAUCUGCAUUCGAUAUGGCUGGGCAGGACAAGACUAGCCCGACUAAAGUGAGGAAAUGUGCAAAAUAUUACGAUAAUGAUAUGAAAUACAACAGCUACAAAUGCAAACGAGUACGAGUAUGAUAUCUACAUGCAUACAAAUGACAAAUUAGAUUGUCUACACUAUGAUGACAGAUUUUUACCUUAUGGGCCAAAAGCGACAUUCGUCAUCAUUUGAGGAGUCGUUUUGGUUUUCACUGGGGCACGCACAAUAUGUAUUUAUUUUUAAUGAGAAGCAAAUGAAAAGACACAAAAACAAA